UUCCGGUUGAUCCUGCCGGACCUGACUGCUAUCGGAUUGAUACUAAGCCAUGCGAGUCAUUGUAGUAAUACAAGGCAGACGGCUCAGUAACGCGUAGUCAAUCUACCCUAUGGACGGGAAUAACCUCGGGAAACUGAGAAUAAUGCCCGAUAGAACACUAUGCCUGGAAUGGUUUGUGUUCCAAAUGAUUUAUCGCCGUAGGAUGGGACUGCGGCCUAUCAGUUUGUUGGUGAGGUAAUGGCCCACCAAGACUAUUACAGGUACGGGCUCUGAGAGGAGUGGCCCGGAGAUGGGUACUGAGACACGGACCCAGGCCCUAUGGGGCGCAGCAGGCGAGAAAACUUUGCAAUGUGCGAAAGCACGACAAGGUUAAUCCGAGUGGUUUCUGCUAAAGAGACCUUUUGUCGGUCCUAGAAACACCGAUGAAUAAGGGGUGGGCAAGUUCUGGUGUCAGCCGCCGCGGUAAAACCAGCACCUCAAGUGGUCAGGAUGAUUAUUGGGCCUAAAGCAUCCGUAGCCUGCUUUGUUAGUUUUCGGUUAAAUCUGUGCGCUUAACGUACAGGCUGCCGGAAAUACUGCAAAGCUAGGGAGUGGGAGAGGUAGACGGUACUCGGUAGGAAGGGGUGAAAUCCUUUGAUCUAUUGAUGACCACCUGUGGCGAAGGCGGUCUACCAGAACACGUCCGACGGUGAGGGAUGAAAGCUGGGGGAGCAAACCGGAUUAGAUACCCGGGUAGUCCCAGCUGUAAACUAUGCAAACUCAGUGAUGCAUUGGCUUGUGGCCAAUGCAGUGCUGCAGGGAAGCCGUUAAGUUUGCCGCCUGGGAAGUACGUACGCAAGUAUGAAACUUAAGGGAAUUGGCGGGGGAGCACCACAAGGGGUGAAGCCUGCGGUUCAAUUGGAGUCAACGCCGGG
rnacentral:rRNA from 1 species